GAAAUGCGAUAAGUAAUGUGAAUUGCAGAAUUCAGUGAAUCAUCGAAUCUUUGAACGCACCUUGCGCUCCUUGGUAUUCCUUGGAGCAUGCCUGUUUGAGUAUCAUGAAAUCUUCAAAGUAAAUCUUUUGUUAACUCAAUUGGUUUCUACUUUGGUAUUGGAGGUCUUUGCAGCUUCACACCUGCUCCUCUUUGUUCAUUAGCUGGAUCUCAGUUUUAUGCUUGGUUCCACUCGGCGUGAUAAGUUAUCUAUCGCUGAGGACACUGUAAAAGGUGGCCAAGGUAAAUGCAGAUGAACCGCUUCUAAUAGUCCAUUGACUUGGACAAUACUUUUAUGAUCUGAUCUCAAAUCAGGUAGGACUACCCGCUGAACUUAAGC
rnacentral:misc_RNA from 1 species